CCGUUCUUCCAGCGCCCGCGUCGACGCCCGUUUCAACAGGGUGAACGCCGUGCGACCGCUGCUGCUUCGCAUCCCAUCAGGGUUCCCUUCUGGGAGAUGGUCCAAGUUUUUUGGAAUACUCUUCAU
rnacentral:lncRNA from 1 species